CAAAUACACCCUCAGUCCCUAAAUACAUGUCUUAGAUUUGUAUAGAUAUGAAUGUAUCUAGCCACAUUUUAGUAUUUUGAUACAACCAUUUCUAGACAAACCUAAGACAACAAUUUUGGGACACAGGGAGUAAUUC
rfam:Hordeum vulgare subsp. vulgare, WGS project CAJW01000000 data, contig: morex_contig_1613567